rnacentral:rRNA from 1 species
CAGCAGCCGCGGUAAUACAGAGGUCCCAAGCGUUGUUCGGAUUCAUUGGGCGUAAAGGGUGCGUAGGUGGCGCCGUAAGUCGGGUGUGAAAUUUCGGAGCUUAACUCCGAAACUGCAUUCGAUACUGCGGUGCUUGAGGACUGGAGAGGAGACUGGAAUUCAUGGUGUAGCAGUGAAAUGCGUAGAGAUCAUGAGGAAGACCAGUGGCGAAGGCGGGUCUCUGGACAGUUCCUGACACUGAGGCACGAAGGCCAGGGGAGCAAACGGGAUUAGAUACCCCGGUAGUCCUGGCAGUAAACGGUGCACGUUUGGUGUGGGGGGAUUCGACCCCUUCCGCGCCGGAGCUAACGCGUUAAACGUGCCGCCUGGGGAGUACGGUCGCAAGAUUAAAACUCAAAGAAAUUGACGG